rnacentral:rRNA from 1 species
CCUACGGGAGGCUGCAGUGGGGAAUAUUGGACAAUGGGCGAAAGCCUGAUCCAGCCAUGCCGCGUGUGUGAAGAAGGCCUUCGGGUUGUAAAGCACUUUCAGUGGGGAAGAAAGCCUUGGGGCUAAUACCCUCGAGGAAGGACAUCACCCACAGAAGAAGCACCGGCUAACUCCGUGCCAGCAGCCGCGGUAAUACGGAGGGUGCGAGCGUUAAUCGGAAUUACUGGGCGUAAAGCGCGCGUAGGCGGUCUGAUAAGCCGGUUGUGAAAGCCCCGGGCUCAACCUGGGAACGGCAUCCGGAACUGUCAGGCUAGAGUGCAGGAGAGGAAGGUAGAAUUCCCGGUGUAGCGGUGAAAUGCGGAGAGAUCGGGAGGAAUACCAGUGGCGAAGGCGGCCUUCUGGACUGACACUGACGCUGAGGUGCGAAAGCGUGGGUAGCAAACAGGAUUAGAUACCCGUGUAGUC